rnacentral:rRNA from 1 species
GACGAACGCUGGCGGCGUGCUUAACACAUGCAAGUCGAGCGGAAAGGCCCUUCGGGGUACUCGAGCGGCGAACGGGUGAGUAACACGUGAGUAAUCUGCCCCUCACUCAGGGAUAACCGCGGGAAGCUGCGGCUAAUACUUGAUAUGACCACGUCUCGCAUGGGGUGUGGUGGAAAGCGUUUAGUGGUGAGGGAUGUGCUCGCGGCCUAUCAGCUUGUUGGUGAGGUAGUGGCUCACCAAGGCUUCGACGGGUAGCCGGCCUGAGAGGGUGACCGGCCACACUGGGAGUGAGACACGGCCCAGACUCCUACGGGAGGCAGCAGUGGGGAAUAUUGGACAAUGGGCGAAAGCCUGAUCCAGCAACGCCGCGUGAGGGAUGACGGCUUUCGGGUUGUAAACCUCUUUCACCUCUGACGAAGCGCAAGUGACGGUAAGGGGAGAAGAAGGACCGGCCAACUACGUGCCAGCCGCCGCCGUAAUAC